UUAACCCUAAUUGAAUCGUUAGUCUCUUUGCAUCUCCUCCAACCUCUCAACCACUAUCUCUAAAAAUUUCAUCACAGAUCUCAAUAAUAGUAUGUAUUCUACAUCAGGUGAUGAUGGGGGCAACUUAUCAUCAUCGAUCUCAGCACACAGUUGUCCACAACAAUCUGCAACCACAGAAGUGAUAAUUGAAAAGAGGGGAUUUGCAAAGAUCCAAUGGUUAUCUUGAAUCCAAUUGAGCCAAAUGUCUUAGGCAGCUUGCUGUAACCGACUCUUGUUUCCGUCCAUGAUGAAUUUGCCACAACUCAGAAGACUUGAGCAGAAGCAAGAAGCACUAUUCUACAAAAUAUGCAAUCACAAAGGCUACAGGAUGGCUUCAUCAUCUUCCCAACUUCAAGAACCAUUGCAUGCUCUACUGAUUUGGUCUACAAAGAAGACAUGGCGGAAGGAUGAAUGAGUGUACCGAAUUAUUACUUUGGUGUAUCAGAACCUAUCAUUUUGUACUAUUUUUGUCAACAUGUUGUUUUGGUGUUUAUAAAACUUUGUAUUUUAUGGGUUUGCGUUUUUAAUAUGCGGAUGUUAAUUAUCUA